rnacentral:rRNA from 1 species
GAGGAAUAUUGGUCAAUGGACGAGAGUCUGAACCAGCCAAGUAGCGUGAAGGAUGACUGCCCUAUGGGUUGUAAACUUCUUUUAUACGGGAAUAAAGUGAGGCACGUGUGCCUUUUUGUAUGUACCGUAUGAAUAAGGAUCGGCUAACUCCGUGCCAGCAGCCGCGGUAAUACGGAGGAUCCGAGCGUUAUCCGGAUUUAUUGGGUUUAAAGGGAGCGUAGGCGGACGCUUAAGUCAGUUGUGAAAGUUUGCGGCUCAACCGUAAAAUUGCAGUUGAUACUGGGUGUCUUGAGUACAGUAGAGGCAGGCGGAAUUCGUGGUGUAGCGGUGAAAUGCUUAGAUAUCACGAAGAACUCCGAUUGCGAAGGCAGCUUGCUGGACUGUAACUGACGCUGAUGCUCGAAAGUGUGGGUAUCAAACAGGAUUAGAUACCCUGGUAGUCCACACAGUAAACGAUGAAUACUCGCUGUUUGCGAUAUACAGUAAGCGGCCAAGCGAAAGCGUUAAGUAUUCCACCUGGGGAGUACGCCGGCAACGGUGAAACUCAAAGGAAUUGACGGGGGCCCGCACAAGCGGAGGAACAUGUGGUUUAAUUCGAUGAUACGCGAGGAACCUUACCCGGGCUUGAAUUGCAACUGAAUGAUGUGGAGACAUGUCAGCCGCAAGGCAGUUGUGAAGGUGCUGCAUGGUUGUCGUCAGCUCGUGCCGUGAGGUGUCGGCUUAAGUGCCAUAACGAGCGCAACCCUUAUCGAUAGUUACCAUCAGGUUAUGCUGGGGACUCUGUCGAGACUGCCGUCGUAAGAUGUGAGGAAGGUGGGGAUGACGUCAAAUCAGCACGGCCCUUACGUCCGGGGCUACACACGUGUUACAAUGGGGGGUACAGAAGGCAGCUACACGGCGACGUGAUGCUAAUCCCGAAAGCCUCUCUCAGUUCGGAUUGGAGUCUGCAACCCGACUCCAUGAAGCUGGAUUCGCUAGUAAUCGCGCAUCAGCCACGGCGCGGUGAAUACGUUCCUG